rnacentral:lncRNA from 1 species
GGAUCUGGAGGAGGCAGGAGUCCGGGUGGGAGCGGUUACCUUGCCCGCUUGGGUGGCGGCAGCCAAGCACGGGUGAGUCCCGUCGUAGCGCCCUAUGGCCACCAUGCGGGGGCUGAUUUUGUGGCGCAGUUUCAGAGUGAACACAGGCAGCAGCAUGAUGGCGCCAGCUAGGGGCGGAAGACAGAUGCCCGACGCAGGCGCAAGGCAAGCAGCUUGGCCGGCCGGUUGCCUAGCAGCGGAUGAGGAGUAGGAGGUAAAUACACGCAGGACUGCGGAACGCCACAGGCCCGGCGCCGGAAGCGCAGACUAGAGCGCGAUCGGUGUCGCCAACUCUCUCUACGCCUGCGCGGACCCUCCCAGCGGCAGAGCUACGCAAGUCCCAACUAGCUCCUGCGACUGCGCAGUGGCGUCGUGCCUGGGACCAAACUCAUGUCAUCAGCCAUGUUGUUUUUAACCUGCUGAGCCAUCUUGGUGACCAAAAUCUCAGGAAACUUCAACUGCUUCAAACUGUCUGGUCCUGGAAUUCUUUGCUGCAGUGAAACCAAGAAUCCUGUUGUCACUUGGAUGGAGGUCUCAGAAAGGAGUGCCCAGUGCUUGGGCUGCUGCAGGUGGCAGAGUGGAGCUGUAUCUCUGGCACACACCUCACUGCUGGUGGCAACAGGGGGAGAGAAGACAGAAACAGCCAUAGGCACC